rnacentral:rRNA from 1 species
UACGUAGGGCGCGAGCGUUGUCCGGAAUUAUUGGGCGUAAAGAGCUCGUAGGCGGCUUGUCGCGUCGGAUGUGAAAGCCCGGGGCUUAACUCCGGGUCUGCAUUCGAUACGGGCAGGCUAGAGUUCGGUAGGGGAGAUCGGAAUUCCUGGUGUAGCGGUGAAAUGCGCAGAUAUCAGGAGGAACACCGGUGGCGAAGGCGGGUCUCUGGGCAGUAACUGACGCUGAGGAGCGAAAGCGUGGGGAGCGAACAGG